ACAACUGUAGCUCAGCUGGUUAGAGCACCACCUUGACAUGGUGGGGGUCGGUGGUUCGAAUCCACUCAGUUGUACCA
rnacentral:tRNA from 16 species